AUUGAACGCUGGCGGCAGGCCUAACACAUGCAAGUCGAGCGGAUGAAGGGAGCUUGCUCCUGGAUUCAGCGGCGGACGGGUGAGUAAUGCCUAGGAAUCUGCCUGGUAGUGGGGGAUAACGUCCGGAAACGGGCGCUAAUACCGCAUACGUCCUGAGGGAGAAAGUGGGGGAUCUUCGGACCUCACGCUAUCAGAUGAGCCUAGGUCGGAUUAGCUAGUUGGUGGGGUAAAGGCCUACCAAGGCGACGAUCCGUAACUGGUCUGAGAGGAUGAUCAGUCACACGGGAACUGAGACACGGCCCAGCCCCCUCGGGGAGGCGGCAGUGGGGAAUUUUGAACAAGGGGGGAAGGCCUGAUCCACCCAUGCCGCGUGUGGAAAGAAGGUCUUGGGUUUGUAAAGCUUUUUAGUUUGGGAGGAAGGGAAGUAAGUUAAUCCCUUGUUGUUUUGACGUUCCCAAAAAAAAAAGCCCCGGCUACCUUCGUC
rnacentral:rRNA from 1 species